rnacentral:rRNA from 1 species
UACGUAGGGAGCGAGCGUUGUCCGGAAUUACUGGGCGUAAAGGGUGCGUAGGCGGUAGGCCAAGUCAGAUGUGAAAUCCCCGGGCUUAACUCGGGUGGUGCAUUUGAAACUGGUUUACUUGAGUGCAGGAGAGGAAAGCGGAAUUCCUAGUGUAGCGGUGAAAUGCGUAGAUAUUAGGAGGAACACCAGUGGCGAAGGCGGCUUUCUGGACUGUAACUGACGCUGAGGCACGAAAGCGUGGGGAGCAAACAGGAUUAGAUACCCUGGUAGUCCACGCUGUAAACGAUGGAUACUAGGUGUGGGGGAGAUACAACCUCCGUGCCGCAGCAAACGCAAUAAGUAUCCCGCCUGGGGAGUACGGUCGCAAGGCUGAA